CAACCCUCAGGCCCCCCUUCGCGGGCGGGACUGGUGUUGGGGCUCGGCCGCUAUCCUGCGGCCGUCCCCUAAAUUCAGUGGCGGCCUCGCCGUGAUCCCUUGCGUAGUAAUACACCUCGCACUGGAAAGCGCCGUGGCCACGCCGUAAAACCCCCAAUUUUCAAU
rnacentral:misc_RNA from 1 species